GAUGAACGCUAGCUACAGGCUUAACACAUGCAAGUCGAGGGGUAACGAGAGGAAAGCUUGCUUUCCUUGUCGACGACCGGCGCACGGGUGAGUAACGCGUAUCCAACCUGCCCCCAACUAAGGAAUAACCUUGCGAAAGUAAGACUAAUACCUUAUAAUUUCCUCAGAUGUCAUCUGAAGAGGUAUGAAGAUUCAUCGGUUGUGGAUGGGGAUGCGUCUGAGUAGCUUGUUGGCGGGGUAACGGCCCACCAAGGCAACGAGCAGUAGGGGUUUUGGGAGGAAGGUCCCCCACAUUGGAACUGAGACACGGUCCAAACUCCUACGGGAGGCAGCAGUGAGGAAUAUUGGUCAAUGGGCGAAAGCCUGAACCAGCCAAGUAGCGUGCAGGAUGACGGCCCUAUGGGUUGUAAACUGCUUUUAUACAGGAAUAAAGUUAGCCACGUGUGGUUAUUUGUAGGUACUGUAUGAAUAAGGACCGGCUAAUUCCGUGCCAGCAGCCGCAGUAA
rnacentral:rRNA from 1 species